GUUGGAACAUAUGGUUAUAUGUCUCCAGAAUAUGCGAUGCAAGGACAAUUUUCUGAAAAAUCAGAUGUCUUUAGCUUUGGAGUUUUGCUAUUGGAGAUUGUUAGUGGAAGACGGAAUUCUAGCUUUUAUGAUGAAGAGAAUUCUCUUACUCUUUUAGGAUUUGCCUGGAUUCAGUGGACAGAACACAAUAUUUCAUCUCUAAUAGAUGAA